rnacentral:rRNA from 1 species
UACGGGGGAUGCGAGCGUUAUCCGGAUUUAUUGGGUUUAAAGGGUGCGUAGGCGGGCUUUUAAGUCAGCGGUAAAAAUUCGGGGCUCAACCCCGUCCGGCCGUUGAAACUGGGGGCCUUGAGUGGGCGAGAAGAAGGCGGAAUGCGUGGUGUAGCGGUGAAAUGCAUAGAUAUCACGCAGAACCCCGAUUGCGAAGGCAGCCUUCCGGCGCCCUACUGACGCUGAGGCACGAAAGUGCGGGGAUCGAACAGG